UCAAUAUCGACAUGAAGUGGUGCAGUAUCCUAGUCGGUAUUGUUAAUUCCGAAGACGGGCCUAAAAAUCCGUUAAAGGCAUAUCGAUGAAGUUCCUGGUGCUGGCUUUUGAUGCCCAAUCGAGGGCUUGUGCUGGGAGUUAAGAAAAGAGGGGCAACCUGCAAUGGCAUGUGGGCAUUGACCCCCUUUUCGUGGAGACCUAUUCCCGUGGCAUAAUGUGCUACGGCAUAGGGUGAACCUACCAUGCGGUAAUAAAGCUGUGGGUAGUGUAGCCUGCCUUGAGUGAUUAAGGUGGCUAUCAGACUGAACUUUAACUUAAUGAGCUCUUAAGUUAAAGCUAUUGCUGAUGAAACCUUAGUUGCAAAAGAGGAUAGGAAUUAACAAACCGUCGAGGAAAGCUCCUAGGCUGCUCGAAGGAGGCAUAUUGAGGAUUACAGUGUGGACUAAGUGGUAAUCCAGUCAUACUUUUGGCGACAAAGUAGAUUCAGGCUUAAAGGGAAACCGCCAAAUGGCGACAGUUGGUGCCUGAAGGGGAAACCCUGCUGGACCUAAGCCACAAAAUUUACUCAAUAUGCUACCACUUCAAGUACAUAGGAG
rnacentral:sRNA from 1 species